AAGGCCGGCUCUUCCAUCUCAUUCUUGGUUCUGAGCUGCAGCAGGACUUCCUAUCCUUUCUCCUUCCCCUGCUUGAAAUCCUGAUGAAUUUCUGCAUGUUUCAAGGUGCUCAAUACUUCCUUCACUGGCUCUUUCCCAAACUUGCUCUCACGGUGACAACUGCCAUGGGGCUCAGUCCGAUGUAGCUGCCAUCUCUCGUGCUGACCCAGCGGAACAUCACGGAACAAGGCAGAGCAAGGACACGCACCGCGGGGCACGGAGCCCACGCAGGCUCUCACUGUAKGUGCCACUGGGAAGCUGCCAAGGGUCCCUCGGUCCCACCACGCGGCUCCUCYGGGAAGAUGCCCAGCGCUGCUGGCCCCACUAAAUACCCUGCCUAAACCUGGGGCCUCACUGGACCUGAUUCAACCCAGCUGCUGGCAGUAGAUCCGGCUGCUCAUGCUAAUUCUGCUCCUAAAARCGGAGAGAUUUGUGCCACAGCGUCAGGGUUACAAGUAGCAUAUAAAUGUCUGUCUGAGAAGCUGUUAGGUAACAAUUCAACAGCGGUUAAUUAAGGACAGGGUUACUUGUUCUGUGGAGUAAUCCAAGCCGAUAAAAUGCUCCCAACUGGGUAAUGUUAUAUUCAGUAGUAUCAUUAAAUAUUAGUACUUGCUUCAACAGUAAUUUUUACMAGAAUUUCCUGUAAGCCUUUGAAAGUGCAUGCAUUUAAAAUAAUAGAAAAUGAGGUCGUUUUAACAGGAUUAUGGUGUACACUGAGUCUAGAUAAACAGUUUUGUUUACAUAAAACAUCCUGUACUGAUUUAUUUAUAUACUUGCAAUUAACAAAGGAUGAAAAAAGGUGAAAAAUAGAACUAAGAUUCCUUGACUUUUUCUCCCAAAUAAAUCUCACUUUAAUGCCAUUCCAAGAGAUGAUUUCACUGUGCAGGAGCUCCUGUUUUUCCCCCUGCCCCGUGCUGUGGGGAUGACUGGCAGCUUUCUUGGAGUGGUGGUGCC